CCGUUCAGGGGUAAACCUGAGAAACCCAAAAGAUCGAAUGGGGAGAUUCAUCGUCAGCGAUUUUGGCGCGUGUGCGGUUCGCGAUGCUGGAUGCUACGGUGUCCAGGCACGCGUCCGCAUGCUCUCAUUGCCUCGAACGUCGGCGUGCACUUCUCCCCUAGUAGGACGUCGCGACCCGUUGGGUGUCGGUCUACGGCCCGGGCGGUAGCCUGUCUCGUGUUCGCUUCGCGGCGUUACGCGGUUCAGACCCCCGGUUGCCCGACCGGCUGCUCGGCGGUACGCGCACGGUAUCUGGCCGCAAAUAUUCGAACUGCGUCCGGCCCGUCGCAAGCGAGGCAAGUGUUUCCCGGCUGUACGGAUCUAAUGCCGUCACCGGGCCUUGCCAGCUGUUGGUUGACGGUGUCCUAGGACAGGCCAAUUUAUUAUGAUACCGGUCGGCGACGCUACUGCUUUGGGUACUUUCAGGACCCGUCUUGAAACACGGACCAAGGAGUCUAACAUGUGCGCGAGUCAUUGGGUAUUAAUAAGCCUAAAGGCGCAAUGAAAGUGAAGGUCGGCCUUGCGCCGACCGAGGGAGGAUGGGCCGCGUCACGAUGCGGUCCCGCACUCCCGGGGCGUCUCGUUCUCAUUACGAGAAGAGGCGCACCCAGAGCGUACACGUUGGGACCCGAAAGAUGGUGAACUAUGCCUGGUCAGGACGAAGUCAGGGGAAACCCUGAUGGAGGUCCGUAGCGAUUCUGACGUGCAAAUCGAUCGUCGGAACUGGGUAUAGGGGCGAAAGACUAAUCGAACCAUC
rnacentral:rRNA from 1 species